rnacentral:sRNA from 1 species
UCCAAAACGCAACGAUAUUCGUGAAACAC